rnacentral:rRNA from 1 species
GUAACGGUGGAAUGCGCAGAUAUCAGGAGGAACACCGAUGGCGAAGGCAGGUCUCCUGGGCUGUAACUGACGCUGAGGAGCGAAAGCAUGGGGAGCGNACANGAUUAGAUACCCUGGUAGUCCAUNCCGUAAACGUUGGGCACUAGNUGUGGGGACCAUUCCACGNUUUCCGCGCCGCAGCUAACGCAUUAAGUGCCCCGCCUGGGGAGUACGGCCGCAAGGCUNAAACUCAAAGGAAUUGACGGGGGCCCGCACAAGCGGCGGAGCAUGCGGAUUAAUUCGAUGCAACGCGAAGAACCUUACCAAGGCUUGACAUGUUCUCGAUCNCCGUAGAGAUACGGUUUCCCCUUUGGGNUGGGUUCACAGGUGGUGCAUGGUUGUCGUCAGCUCGUGUCGUGAGAUGUUGGGUUAAGUCCCGCAACGAGCGCAACCCUCGUUCCAUGUUGCCAGCACGUAAUGGUGGGGANUCAUGGGAGACUGCCGGGGUCAANUCGGAGGAAGGUGAGGACGACGUCAAAUCAUCAUGCCCCUUAUGUCUUGGGCUUCACGCAUGNUACAAUGGCCGGUACAAUGGGUUGCGAUACUGUGAGGUGGAGNUAAUCCCUAAAANCCGGUNUCAGUUCGGNUUGGGGUUUGCAACUCGACCCCAUGAA